rnacentral:tRNA from 1 species
GCACUGGUGGUUCAGUGGUGGAAUGCACACCUUCCACGGGAGAGACCCGGGUUCAAUUCCUGACCAGUACA